rnacentral:rRNA from 13 species
UAAGAGAGUUUGAUCCUGGCUCAGGAUGAACGCUAGCGGCAGGCCUAAUACAUGCAAGUCGAGGGGCAGCAUGGUCUUCGGACCGAUGGCGACCGGCGCACGGGUGCGUAACGCGUAUGCAACCUACCCACUACAGGGGGAUAGCUUCCGGAAACGGAAAUUAAUACCCCAUAACACAUAAGUAUCGCAUGGUACUAAUGUUAAAGAUUUAUCGGUAGUGGAUGGGCAUGCGUAAGAUUAGAUAGUUGGUGAGGUAACGGCUCACCAAGUCUACGAUCUUUAGGGGUUCUGAGAGGAUGAUCCCCCACACUGGUA